rnacentral:tRNA from 1 species
GGGCGGAUGGCGGAACUGGCAGACGCGCGAGAUUUAGGAUCUCGUGGAGAAUAUCCGUGGAGGUUCAAGUCCUCUUCCGCCCA